rnacentral:rRNA from 1 species
AUUGAACGCUGGCGGAAUGCUUUACACAUGCAAGUCGAACGGUAGAGGGGGCAACCCCCUUGAGAGUGGCGAACGGGUGAGUAAUAUAUCGGAACGUGCCCAGUCGUGGGGAUAACGUAGCGAAAGCUACGCUAAUACCGCAUACGAUCUACGGAUGAAAGCGGGGGAUCGCAAGACCUCGCGCGAUUGGAGCGGCCGAUAUCAGAUUAGGUAGUUGGUGAGGUAAAGGCUCACCAAGCCGACGAUCUGUAGCUGGUCUGAGAGGACGACCAGCCACACUGGGACUGAGACACGGCCCAGACUCCUACGGGAGGCAGCAGUGGGAAUUUUGGACAAUGGCGCAAGCCUGAUCCAGCAAUGCCGCGUGCAGGAUGAAGGCCUC